rnacentral:rRNA from 1 species
GACGAACGCUGGCGGCGUGCUUAGCACAUGCAAGUCGAACGGAAAGGCCCUGCUUUUGUGGGGUGCUCGAGUGGCGAACGGGUGAGUAACACGUGAGUAACCUGCCCUUGACUUUGGGAUAACUUCAGGAAACUGGGGCUAAUACCGGAUAGGAGCUCCUGCUGCAUGGUGGGGGUUGGAAAGUUUCGGCGGUUGGGGCUGGACUCGCGGCUUAUCAGCUUGUUGGUGGGGUAGUGGCUUACCAAGGCUUUGACGGGUAGCCGGCCUGAGAGGGUGACCGGCCACAUUGGGACUGAGAUACGGCCCAGACUCCUACGGGAGGCAGCAGUGGGGAAUAUUGCACAAUGGGCGGAAGCCUGAUGCAGCAACGCCGCGUGCGGGAUGACGGCCUUCGGGUUGUAAACCGCUUUCGCCUGUGACGAAGCGUGAGUGACGGUAAUGGGUAAAGAAGCACCGGCUAACUACGUG